rnacentral:rRNA from 1 species
UACGUAGGGUGCAAGCGUUGCCCGGAAUUAUUGGGCGUAAAGAGCUCGUAGGCGGUUUGUCGCGUCGAAUGUGAAAACCCGGGGCUCAACUCCGGGCCUGCAUUCGAUACGGGCAGACUAGAGUUCGGUAGGGGAGACUGGAAUUCCUGGUGUAGCGGUGAAAUGCGCAGAUAUCAGGAGGAACACCGGUGGCGAAGGCGGGUCUCUGGGCCGAUACUGACGCUGAGGAGCGAAAGCGUGGGGAGCGAACAGG